rnacentral:piRNA from 1 species
UGUGCUAACCCUGAACGGCAGGA